UAGGGAAUAUUGGUCAAUGGACGAGAGUCUGAACCAGCCAUGCCGCGUGAAGGAAGACGGCCUUCUGGGUUGUAAACUUCUUUUAUCAGAGAACAAAAAGCCCCUGCGGGGGAAAUUGAGUGUAUCUGACGAAUAAGCACCGGCUAACUCCGUGCCAGCAGCCGCGGUAAUACGGAGGGUGCAAGCGUUGUCCGGAUUUAUUGGGUUUAAAGGGUGCGUAGGCGGGAUAUUAAGUCAGUGGUGAAAGCCCACAGCUCAACUGUGGAACUGCCAUUGAUACUGAUAUUCUUGAGUACGGAUGAGGUAAGCGGAAUUUAUGGUGUAGCGGUGAAAUGCAUAGAUACCAUAAA
rnacentral:rRNA from 1 species